rnacentral:lncRNA from 1 species
GUUGAUGUUGUCCUGGGGAGAGGAGGAAGGUUGAUGUUGUACUAGAGGAGAGGAGGAAGGUUGAUGUGUUCCUGGAGGAGAUGUGGAAGGUUGAUGUUGUACUGUCUCCUGGGGAGAGGUGGAAGGUUGAUGUUGUCCUGGAGGAGAGGUGGAAGGUUGAUGUUGUCCCGGAGGAGAGGAGAAAGGUUGAUGUUGUACUAGAGGAGAGGAGGAAGGUUGCUGUUGUACUGUACUCCGGGAGGAGAGGAGGAAGGUUGAUGUUGUACUGGAGGAGAGGAGGAAGGUUGAUGUUGUCCUGGAGGAGAGGAGGAAGGUUGAUGUUAAACUGUAGUCCUGGUUUCUCUACUUUCUUCAGAGCUGGAGGUGAGAGGACAGGACAGAGGAGACGUAUCUAGGCUAAAGAAAGAUAGAUGAGAGCCUAAUAGGGGAAGAGGGGAUAGCGUGUUGUACUGUGGAGCCAGAGGAACAGCAGAGAGGCUUCUGGGUAGAGAGGAGACGAGGAGGAGGAGGAGGAGGAAGAGGAGGAGGAGGAGGAGCAGAGGAGGAGGGGAAGGAGCAGAAGAGGAGAGGGCAUUAUGACGAGGUCACAGAUCCGCAUCACGUAUUGGCCUAUUAUAUCAUACUACAGCUAUAGCACAGAAUGCUGGUAGAGUAAUGACUCUCUCCCUCUCUCUCCCUCCCUCUCUCUCUCUCUCUCUCUCUCUCUCUCUCUCUCUCUAUGACCUCCUCCUUCCUACUAUCCGGACAUCAAAGUCCCUGUAAUUCAUCACCUGUCCAAAACACUAGGUCAUCGCCUGUCACAACACAGAAACGUUAACAGGGCAGAACAAGACAAUGAAGGAUAGAGAGAGAGAAUGAUUGAUGGAGAGAUAAUGAAGGUCUGUUAGCAUUGUGACUGUUAGGAUUCUGGCUGCAGAGUGUGUGUGUGGUAUUUAUUAGCUCCAGCCCAUUGUGAGGGGCUGUUAGCAGGCCUGUCACCACACCAGGAGACCAGGUGACAAGUAGAGUAGGUGACAAAGAUCUUAGUCUCUCCUAACAGCUGUCUGUCAAAGGGCUCUAUCACUGGUAACAGAGUCCACUGGUGUGUCUGCUGGUACAAAGAGCUCUAUGACUGGUAACAGAGUCUACUGGUACAAAGAGCUCUAUCACUGGUAACAGAGUCCACUGGUACAAAGAGCUCUAUGACUGGUAACAGAGUCUACUGGUACAAAGAGCUCUAUGACUGGUAACAGAGUCUACUGGUACAAAGAGCUCUAUGACUGGUAACAGAGUCNUGACUGGUAACAGAGUCUACUGGUACAAAGAGCUCUAACAGAGUCUACUGGUACAAAGAGCUCUAUGACUGGUAACAGAGUCUACUGGUACAAAGAGCUCUAUGACUGGUAACAGAGUCUACUGGUACAAAGGGCUCUAUGACUGGUA